UGGGGAUAUUGCUCAGUUGGUAGAGCAUGUGCCUCACAAGCACAAGGCCCUGGGUUCAAUCCCCAGUACCGCAA